AAAAAAUAGGACUACCUGAUCAAAUAUGUUAUGUGUAAUGCGUCUGUUUUGAGAAAAUCUAAGACAUCUUGCUCUUAUUUAUAACACAGUUGAUUUGGUGCUGUGCCUGCAUUGCAUUACAUUUUUGUACUGGGUUGCCGGUUUCUACACACCUGUUUACCUUGCAACUCUCUUCUGUAUAGAAGUUCUGUUGUUUCAUAAAAGCCCUAAAGUUGUGAGCCUCUAAAAAGGAAAAAUGACGAGAGUUAAUACAACUACAUUGUACACAUACGCACACACACCUACACACACGUCUUCUCUUCUCUGCGGCCAGUUCUUCAGCACACUACGGCAGACAUGAGGGGUUUGGGUUGCUCACUAACAUACAGCGCAAAGCGCAUCCAUAAUAAAAACCACUUCCUUCAGAUUUAGUGAGUAAUUCUAUUUUUCAUAACAAUAAAUCGCUCAUAAAUUUUUGCAAGGUUGCCAAGUUUGUGCUGAGGUGCACAAGGUGGACAUGUGCACUUACUAAGCAUGUCUGUGACACACAUUUAGAAAACAUGGAGGGAAUGUUCAACGGUGCCUGUGACAGCUGCCUGGGCCACAGCCAUUUCCCUCAAUUUGCAUCCAUCACCGGUCCUUUUACAGUGCUUUCUUGGAAAAGGUACGAUGGGAUAUCCUCACUGGACGUAAGAGCUUACUCCGUGGGGAACAUUUGGCACAAUCAAUCUUGUUACUAAUUAGUCAUAAUAUUUGCUCUGGUCCCCACAAAUGGAAGCCUGUACUUGGGACUGGAACUUCCAUUAUCACAUGACGAUACCACGGUUGACCCAUUAUGUGCAUGUACAGUUUUUCUUGUUUAGGUGUCUGCGUGUGUGAGUCUGCUUGUGAGUGUGUGUGCUUCGGAGUUUGUGCGUCACAGAUCUCAGAGCAAAUAAAUCAUUCAUGGAAGCCUGUUCUUUUGUUUGAAACAAGACUGAUGUGGUUGUGACUGAUCUGAUUCUUUUGGCAUUUCUUUGCUACGAGUUCAAAACAAAGUGAAAUAGCAGAGUGAAACCAUGGAAGCUUUCGAAAGGGCCUUGAGGCCUCCGCUCAAACUGUUAUGUGUUAUUCAAAAUACAUGUAAUAUAAUGCAUUAGAUGACUCGUGUUUAAUAACUCAAGUUUCAUGGUCGUCCAUUUCACUCUGGGUUAUUUCGAUUUCAGAAACUCUAUCAAACCAAGAUGAUUAUUUGCCUGAAUCCCCCCUUCUGACAAUGGACCGCAAAGCUCCAAUUAUUCAAUGGUUCUAAGGAAUUUCUUGCAAACAAAAUCCUUGAUACUUAAUGUCGCAAGUAAAUACAACCUUUGCCAGUUAGACAGAGUGCAGGAUUCUGUUUGGAACCUCUGAUAUGUAAUGUGAGUGAGUUUAGCAAAUAAUAGGGAAGGCAGAAUAGAGAGAUAUAAAGACUGUUCACGGUCGGCUCGGUGAUGGUAAAGUGUCACAGGUCAACCAGUAGAAUAGACCUAUCUAUUAUGCCUUUGCUGUGCUAUUGUAUUUAUUGGCGAGUCUAUACAGGAUAUCCUGUUAUAAUUAUUUUCAAAAUGCGGUACUGGCUCCAGCUUUCACUGAUUUCAUUCAUGCAUCACAAUCCCUGACUUAUUCUUCAGCUGUUUGGUGCCAGUUGACUAAUCCUAUUCAAGCAGAUGUACAGCACAUUACAUUAUACUAAUUCUCAUUAUUGCUACAGCAUGUUGAUGCUCUCUGUAGCUGUGAUGUUUGUCUUUGAGGGUUCCAUCAAACAGCAUAGCUGAGGGUACAAGCAUUGCUCUGAAUGUUUAAGUCUUUUAGUUAUGAAAGGUUCAUAACGAGCCUCCUCAAAAGUGAGGGACUUGUUCCAGGACAAUUUAAAAUGACAGCGUUUAAACUGUAAAAUUAACAUUUUGGGCCCUUUUUUGGACUAAAAAAA
ensembl:lncRNA